rnacentral:lncRNA from 1 species
GAUAAGCCCUUUUCUAAGCCAAAAAUUUCAUCCCACAUGAAAAAGAACAUCUUAUGUUCUACUCUUUUUGAACCUAAGCCUUAAACAGGAUGAAAACCCUUGCUAUGAAAAUCUUUGCCAUGAGUUAAGUUGAGAAAUAUUUUUGGGGUAUUGUUAAAGGUUCAAGUUUGGGGUUGUUGGAAGAAUUGAAAAAGAAAAAGAAAAGUUAGGCAUUGAGCUUAUGAGUUGAAAAUAAAAUGCAUGAGAAAAGAUGAAAAAGAUAGAAAAAGAAAAAGCAUGAAAACAAAAGCUCAAUGUGAAGAAAAAGGAAAGUUGGGAAUGAGUGAGAUUGGUAAAAAGAGAGUUUGUGCUUGAACUAUGAAUGUAUAAUAACUCUCUUAACUCAAGGGUUUUGUGAUCUAGAAAAACCAAUUUUCCUUGUUAGCCCAACCACAUUAUAAGCCUUGAAAGGUCCUUGUGAUG